rnacentral:lncRNA from 1 species
GAAAAAGCGAAAAUGAAUACGUUGUACCAUACGUACGUCAGGCAUCGUAGAAAAUGCCUAUGAAAGGCUGUGCGAUAAUACUCUGUCGCGGGAAGAAUUAUCAGAUGCCAUUUUGGCUUAGUGCCUUCAAACUUUUUUUUCUUUUUAGUGCAUUCAAACUUAUUAACAAAAAGAAAGGCUUUCUCUCAAUCCACUGAGAUUCAAAGAAGACAAGUAGUAAAAAAAAAGUAGUGAUGUUGAUAAUUACAUAAUAAUCUGUCUGGAAAGAUUAUGUUCUGGUUCUUAUUAAUAUCAGUCUCUUUGUUACGACAGGCACUAAAGCAUCAUCUUAGACCCACGACACUACCCAAGAGAUACUAUGGUAAUAGCGAUACAUAAUCGGUUCUGUAUAUAGUGGGAUGAAACAUUUGUUUAUGGCUUUCAAAAUAUUGAUGGUCAAUAUAUAAAUAUAAUGUCAC